CCUACGGGAGGCAGCAGUGGGGAAUUUUGGACAAUGGGGGCAACCCUGAUCCAGCCAUGCCGCGUGAGUGAAGAAGGCCUUCGGGUUGUAAAGCUCUUUCGGCCGGGAAGAAAUCGCGCAGGCUAAUAUCCUGUGUGGAUGACGGUACCGGAAUAAGAAGCACCGGCUAACUACGUGCCAGCAGCCGCGGUAAUACGUAGGGUGCGAGCGUUAAUCGGAAUUACUGGGCGUAAAGCGUGCGCAGGCGGUUUUGUAAGACAGGCGUGAAAUCCCCGGGCUCAACCUGGGAACUGCGCUUGUGACUGCAUCACUCGAGUACGGCAGAGGGGGGUGGAAUUCCACGUGUAGCAGUGAAAUGCGUAGAGAUGUGGAGGAACACCGAUGGCGAAGGCAGCCCCCUGGGCCGAUACUGACGCUCAUGCACGAAAGCGUGGGUAGCAAACAGGAUUAGAUACCCUGGUAGUCCACGCCCUAAACGAUGAUUACUCGUUGUUAGCCUGUACAGGUUAGUGGCUAAGGGAAACCGAUAAGUAAUCCACCUGGGGAGUACGAUCGCAAGGUUGAAACUCAAAGGAAUUGACGG
rnacentral:rRNA from 1 species